AAAACGUUGUAUGACAGAUCCGAAGUUAAAGUAGCUAUGGUUUGGUGUUGGCACACCAUGAGGAGUUUAACUGAUGCAUGUACGCUGCAGGUUCUCACCACUCCAUGAGAGAUGGGAUGAACACCGUUUCAUUUUAGGAAAUUUCAGCCACUGCAUGGCCUUUAGCACUGAAAACGACUGAAUUCUCAACCCACGUUGGCUUCUUUUCAGCUAUCUGACUUCAGCAACAAGGAAAAGAGACAAAGUUGAAGCUCUCCAAUUUCAUCUGGACUCUGUAAAGUCGAAAUAUUUUUUUUCUGAUUUGAAUAAGAUACAAAUAACUGUUAUUAUCUUAUAAGUUCAAAUUUUGAGUCUGAACUUCCUGUUUAUUUUAUGGUUUCCAGUCCAUUGGGAUUUCUUUUGUGUAGGCAUGGUGCUGAUCCUCUGUGUCUUUCGUACCUCUUCCUGCAGCAUGGCUGUUCACUCGGAUGGAUUAAUUUGCCAUGCUCACUGCUGUUUCGUCUGCUUUGUUACUUUCUCCCUGAAGCAGAGGCGAUGAAAGGUUCAGAUUGUUGCCCUUGUGAGAAGAACUCAUAGUGCUGUGAAAACGGACUCAAUUUCUACUGCUUUCUGCCGCCAUCAGGUUCUCCUUCUCUUCCUAUCUUCAAAAAAAGUUAUGCUCUAAUAUUAACAAUGACUAGAAGUUAUCUGAGAGACAUCUGAAACGUUUUGAAAAGAGUUAUCUUCAGUUUUGCUGCUGGCUCUGCAACAGCGUACUCAUACUCAAAUUGCUUCAAGGCCUCUUCAUUUCCAUGGAGGAAAGGACUAAGAUUAAUGAGGGUUUUCUGAAAAGUUUUGAUGACAAAUUUAUUGGGAAAUAUGAAUAUGGAACAUUUCUGUCUCUAGAAACAAUGAAAACAGUAAAAAACCAUUACCAAGUCCCCAACGUAUUGCUUUUACACUGAAAAGUGAAAAUGGAAUAAGGAGGGAAGUAGACAUCAAUAUUAUGUCUUCCAGAUGAGUUUUUUUUUUUUAAACCCACAUGACCACAGCAAAGUGAGGCAGGAUUCUGAGAAGUCAAUGACAGAGACCGAAUACGUCCAAGCUGUAAACAUUUUAUGAGUUAUCAAACAAGACACGUUUUAACUUGUGACUCUGGAAAAUGGUAGCUGAUCAGUAUAAUUUAAGGUUGAAGGUGUUUCUGUCAGAAAUAUUUGAAGGUUCUUGAUGCUGGAAGGACUGAAUAGACCAGAGCAGGAAGAAUCUCAGGCUGUCUCAGGCUUUACUUUGCCAGUGUCACACUGAUUGAUAUAUGACCAUAGAGGGUUCUAAACUUCUGCUCUUUGUUUCCAAACAGUAGAAGCACAAGCAGGAACAUAUAGUAAUAGUAGGUUUUACCCAAGGAUCUAUGACCUCCCCAGUUAUGGGAUUUAGGUGAGGACUACAGUCCCAAGCAUGAAAUUUCCUCUUGUGAGUUAGGCUUCAAACCCAUAUAGUUGCUGGCACUAUUACAACACUAAGCACAUCUUCUCUGGCAGGUCUGUCUUAGAGCAUCAGCAUCCUAUACUAGAAGCAACUCAUGGUGAGCUAAACUGAAUGCACCCUGUUGUUCCAAGCGGGAGUUUUUCUUGCCUCAGCCAACUGACAGCAGACUCUCAGACCUGAUAGGAAAAUUAGAAACUCCGAAUAAACAGAGAACAUUCUCACCUUCAGCUGUGUGCGAGCUGAAGGAAUCUACUUAUAGAGAAGGCGCAUCUGAAGGAGGUUCUGAAAUUCUGAGAUGACCCGAGAGCUCUCGACAUAUGGUAAUCUACCUCUCAACACUGCAAAUUCAUUCGUAUGGACCAGCAAGCUCUUCCUUUAGGGCACAAUGGGCCUUGGGCAGCCAGUUAGAAUGGUGUCAGUGUGACAUUUUGUGUGAUACAUAGUGUUCUCUGCUCAAAGAUGUUUCUGGGACAGAGAAGAAACGUUGUGAACUUUUGUGUCAAGAUAUGAACAAGGGAGAAACUGGACUGGAAGGAUCCUCUUUGUACCUGAGCUCUGUUAGAAGGAAACUGGAACUAUAAUCUCUUUUCCUGGCAGUGCCUUCUCUUCUCCUGGCAGCAUCCUCUUCACAAAGUGGAGUUGAUGUGGUUUUCAGUGUCACUUUUCAACAUUAAUGUUUCUGAAAGUGUUACAUGGAUAAUUUUGGAUAAGAAAGGAGCAGGAAUGGAGUAGGAAGAGGAGAGCGAGGGAAAGAGAGAAUGAGGGGGCUUGUGGUUUAGCGUGUCUUCUAACGAAGCAAAAGGUGGUGUUUCAGACUGAGUCAUUGGAGUGGGGUUAAGCACCACAGAUGUUUAUUAAAGGUUCACUUUGUGCCUUAAACUACACACAUGACGAAAAUGAAUACCUCACUGUGGCAUGUAGAUGAGUGUGGAAGCAGACACGGACAGGUGCUAUGAUACAGUGAUUUAUAACAAGGGAGUCAUUGAGAAUGGUUGAUGUGGGAACAAAGAAGAAAGAUAACUUGCUCUGAUUUGGGAGCUGUAAAAUUCCCCCGAAAGGAGAAUUUGAGCCCUGAAGGAUUAGAGAUUUUGAUCCAAGAGUAAUAGUAUUGCAGUCAACAUGAAUACCUUAUGAGGUUCACGAUUGGAGAGAAUGCAAGCAGAACAGAGACAGGAACUCUGAAUGUGGAGGGGAGAUACCUACUCGCUGCACUCCCAAAGCAAACAUUUUCACUGCUAAUCUGAAGUAUAUCCAGCUACGCAUUGAAGUGGAACCUUUUCUUCAUCAUCCGAGAUUGUGGAAAACACCAACAUCCUUGAAAACAUAAGCUGAAAUCAAGGACAGAGUGUGCAUAAAGUGGAGAAAACUAGGAAUUGGUAGUAUAUGGACAACUUCCAGGAAAUGAUAUCUAUGUGGGUUUUCCGUGCAUUAAGGUCCCUACUGUUGGAAGUGAAGACUUUCACCAGGGUAUACAAUGAAAGGGUAUGGUGAAUUUUAAUCUGCUAUGGCUGCCCGUUAAUUUUAGCUCCUUAUAACAGACAAACGAGGAAAAGAAGACAUGAAGGCAAGUUACUCUCAGGAAUAGAAACUCUUUGAAAUCAAGGGUACCAUGGAUCCGCUAAUGUGCUUCCAUCCAGUAUUCUUCUGUCCACUAUGGCAAGAUGGUACUAGACAAACAGCAAUCACAGUCAGGAAUGACAUUUGGACCAUAAAAAAACCUCCUCAGAGAUAAACACGGAGUCACAGAACAGGCCACACACUUUGCAGACUGGUGUAAGAUGAGAGCGAUGCAACAGCUAAUGAGCCAUAUGUGGAAGGGUCCAGAUGUUUGGAUUAUAUGCUCUUCCAAUCCAUUAUGCAAAUGUCCAUUUAUGACAACGUGUGGCAUUGUGUGGAGAGAAGAAGGGCUGCAUCACCAGUAAGGAAAUCAAAGUGGAGGCUAAUUACACUGCUGCUCUUUGCAAAUGGGGAAUUUCUUUCUGAGCGUGUUAUUUUCAAUAUGAAAUGAUGGGGUUGAAAAAUGAUUUGUGGUUUGUAUUUUCAUGGACCCUUUACGGGAUUGUGGGAGUUGAUCAGAACCAUCAGUUAAUUUUUAUCUCUGGAAAAUGUGGUGGCUCUUUAUUCUAUCCUAUGAAAAACCACCCCGACUUGUCUACCAUUGCUCCAUGGCAGGAAAGAGGAACCACAGGGCAGAUAUGUUGGAGAGUUUUAAAGAUAAGUCACAUUGGUAAGAAUUUUGGUUGAGUUAGUAACUGAAAACAAAAAAAAGGAGUACAGAGGAAAACAGAGUUGGAGGGAAACAAAUAAGAACAAAGUAUCGACGAGUGGAGCAGAGACUGAAGGAAAGGCCAUCCAGAGACUGCCUCAUAUAGGGAUCGGAUACCUAUAGUUAAAAUGGUGGAUGUGUGAAAGGAACAGACAUCAACAAAACGCCUCGGGGAACAUUGUAGAAGAGGAGACAGAAAGGAGCUGGAAGACCAGGAAAGCUUCUGUGAGAUUAUGACUCUUAGAAAUGACAGAGAAGCUAGGACUACAAAAAUACGGUUGCCUAAGCAAGACUCUUCAAUGCUGAAACAGAAGAAAGAUAUCCCAUGGGGCACUACCCACAGACAAAAGAUUACAGCUUUGGGCAGAAACACAGGUAGAAAAGAGGAAGAAUGGAAGAAGUAUUGGAAUGCAUAUGAUGGCAUAAGCUUUCAUUUUGAGAAAGAGAACAACCCUGAAAAUGAUCA
rnacentral:lncRNA from 1 species